CACGUAAGUUGCGAGCGUUGUUCGGAAUUAUUGGGCGUAAAGGGCAUGUAGGCGGUUAUGCAAGUCUGGUGUGAAAUUCAGGGGCCCAACCCCUGAACUGCGUUGGAAACUGCGUAACUUGAGUCACUGAGGGGCAGGCAGAAUUCCUGGUGUAGGGGUGAAAUCUGUAGAUAUCAGGAAGAAUACCAAUGGCGAAGGCAGCCUGCCAGCAGAUGACUGACGCUGAGGUGCGAAGGUGCGGGGAG
rnacentral:rRNA from 1 species